AAAUAACCCAACACCAUACAACAUAAGAAUCCAAUUUGAAUAAAGAAAAACCACCCAAAGAAUAAUUAAAAAAGCGAAGUCGUAGCCAAACUCAUCCCAUAAUAUAACCCCGUCCCGUUAAAUUAAACAUAACUUUGGCAUUUUCUUAUAAAUUUCAAAUAUUUAU
rnacentral:sRNA from 1 species